rnacentral:snRNA from 1 species
AUACUUACCUGGCAGGGGAGAUACCAUGAUCAUGAAGGUGGUUUUCCCAGGGUGAGGCUUAUCAAUGGCACUCCAGAUGUGCUGACCCCUGUGAUUUCCCCAAAUGUGGGAAGCUUGUCUUCAUAAUUUGUGGUAGUGGGGGACUGCAUUCACAAUCUCCCC